rnacentral:lncRNA from 1 species
ACCUAAUAGGAUUUGGUUGCAACCAAUUUGAGACAAAUCCUAGUCCAAAUAGGAGCCUGAAGGGAAGGAAAACUGUUUCUCUUCAAAAGGCCCAGGUUGCAUCUAAAAAUUUUUCUAUUCAUCUACAUGAUUAAGGAUCAAAUAUUUACCUGAUUAGUAGCAAAACCAGAGAUUAAAUCUCAAAUAAUCUAAUAUAAAUCUUCAUGGAGGUCUGGAUAUGUAGAUCCUCUACUUCGCAUGCACGUCAGACGCCGC